AGAGUUUGAUUCUGGCUCAGGAUGAACGCUGGCGGCGUGCCUAACACAUGCAAGUCGAACGGGUGUACGGGGAGGAAGGCUUCGGCCGGAAAACCUGUGCAUGAGUGGCGGACGGGUGAGUAACGCGUGGGCAACCUGGCCUGUACAGGGGGAUAACACUUAGAAAUAGGUGCUAAUACCGCAUAACGGGGGAAGCCGCAUGGCUUUUCCCUGAAAACUCCGGUGGUACAGGAUGGGCCCGCGUCUGAUUAGCCAGUUGGCAGGGUAACGGCCUACCAAAGCGACGAUCAGUAGCCGGCCUGAGAGGGCGGACGGCCACACUGGGACUGAGACACGGCCCAGACUCCUACGGGAGGCAGCAGUGGGGGAUAUUGCACAAUGGGGGGAACCCUGAUGCAGCGACGCCGCGUGGGUGAAGAAGCGCCUCGGCGCGUAAAGCCCUGUCAGCAGGGAAGAAAAUGACGGUACCUGAAGAAGAAGCCCCGGCUAACUACGUGCCAGCAGCCGCGGUAAUACGUAGGGGGCAAGCGUUAUCCGGAUUUACUGGGUGUAAAGGGGGCGC
rnacentral:rRNA from 1 species